rnacentral:rRNA from 1 species
AACGAACGCUGGCGGUAUGCUUAACACAUGCAAGUCGAACGAACAAGAGCCUUAGCUUGCUAAGGAGUUCUGUUAGUGGCAAACGGGUGAGUAACACGUGGGAACCUACCUAGUAGCUUGGGAUAACAGUUGGAAACGACUGCUAAUACCGAAUACGCUCUAUGUGAGGAAAGAUUUAUCACUAUUAGAUGGGCCCGCGCUAGAUUAGAUAGUUGGUGGGGUAAUGGCCUACCAAUCUGCAAUCUAUAACUGGUCUGAGAGGACGAUCAGUCACACUGGAACUGAGACACGGUCCAG